CCUACGGGCGGCACCAGUGGGGAAUAUUGCACAAUGGGCGCAAGCCUGAUGCAGCCAUGCUGCGUGUAUGAAGAAGGCCUUCGGGUUGUAAAGUACUUUCAGCGGGGAGGAAGGUGUUGUGGUUAAUAACCACAGCAAUUGACGUUACCCGCGGAAGAAGCACCGGCUAACUCCGUGCCAGCAGCCGCGGUAAUACGGAGGGUGCAAGCGUUAAUCGGAAUUACUGGGCGUAAAGCGCCCGCAGGCGGUAUGUCAAGUCGGAUGUGAAAUCCCUGGGCUCGACCUGGGAACUGCAUUCGAAACUGGCAGGCUAGAGUCUUGUAGAGGGGGGUAGAAUUCCAGGUGUAGCGGUGAAAUGCGUAGAGAUCUGGAGGAAUACCGGUGGCGAAGGCGGCCCCCUGGACGAAGACUGACGCUCAGGUGCGAAAGCGUGGGGAGCAAACAGGAUUAGAUACCCGCGUAGUC
rnacentral:rRNA from 1 species